AUUGAACGCUGGCGGCAGGCCUAACACAUGCAAGUCGAACGAUUGGCGGACGGGUGAGUAAUGUCUGGGAAACUGCCUGCUGGAGGGGGAUAACUACUGGAAACGGUAGCUAAUAACGCCUACCAUCAGAUGUGCCCAGAUGGGCUUGGCUUGUUGGUGGGGUAACGGGUCACCAAGGCGACGAUCCCUGGCUGGGCUGCGAGGAUGACCAGCCACACUGGAACUUAGACACGGUCCAUACGCCUACGAGAGGCAGCAGUGGGGAAUAUGGCACAAUGGGCGCAAGCCUGAUGCAGCCAUGCCGCGUGUAUGAAGAAGGCCUUCGGGUUGUAAAGUACUUUCAGCGGGGAGGCGUUACCCGCAGAAGAAGCACCGGCUAACUCCGUGCCAGCAGCCGCGGUAAUUC
rnacentral:rRNA from 1 species